GAAAAGGGAAAAUUUAAUUUUUAUAUUUGAUGUAAAGAUAAAUUUUGACUAUUUGUGCAUUUAUGAAAUACAGCUGUGGAUUCAUUGAUUUUGUGAGUAAAGGGAUACUAUCAAUUGAAAUGUCCAACAAAAAACUUCUAAAUAUUUUCUACAGGUUUGAAUGCUUACUUGUGUCAUACCACUGAUCAAAUAUCCACAAAAAUGCAAUUUUUCCAACAACCACAAAGAUUGGUUACAAUGAAAAUAAACAAAUCUACAUUAGUUCUCAGUGGUAUAUACUGUAAACCAACUGACUUUCACCAUUAAUAUUUUGUGACAUUCAGAUGUAGAAAAUUUGGGAAAAAUUCUACAAUUAGUUUUUGAACAUGUCAAUAUCAAAUAUGUGUUUUUCUGUUUUGAAUUCAUCAACAAUUUUAAAACACAUUAUUAAAGUAAAUCUAGUAAAAGUCCAGCUAUAAUUAAAU
rnacentral:lncRNA from 1 species